UUGUUUUCGUUUUGUUACGUACUGAUAUGAAAGUGAAAGUAGAAACCUUGUAUGUCAGUUAGCGUUAUGUAUGUUGAGAUCGUUAUCAAGUCCGGAUUUCUUAUUCAACUAAAUGACAACUUAUGACCUAUAGAUGCAUUCGGCAACUUGAAUUCAGUGUCACGGAGCUGUUUUUUUUUCAGUCCAAAGAGCCCGAAGCUGAUAAGACUGGCGAUUAAUCCUGAAGCUGAUUUGACAGACGAUUGCAUCAUCACAAUAUUGAAGGUUCAAUAUACAGUCAGCCUCUCAUAAGAUAUUUUAAGAACAAAUCCCAAGAUCCAAGGCUUGCUUCAAAGUUAAGAGACCAUUCUGUGCCACAAAGAAAUUGUUCAGGAAGAGGAGAAGUGGUGGAUAUUCAUUUUUGGUACGGUACAGUUCAAAGAGAUUUUCAAAAUGGUCAAGGAAGAUCAAAGGGAGGACAACUAAAAAAAUUGAAAGAUACAAAAGGAAAAAGAACAAGGAAAUAUAUGGAAUAAUCAUGAAAUGGGGAGGAUGUACACAAUCUUGUCUGAAUUUGA